AAUGCCUUUCUUGGCUAAGUGUCCGUGUCCAUCUUUUUUUCCUAGAAUACAAGUGAUCAUCAUCUUUACAUAAGUUGUUGAUUUACAGAUUUAUCUCUCACUAUGUUAUGCUCUAAUUGCUUUGGCUGCAGGAGCUUAUCUGCAUAUCCUCUGGAAUAUUGGAGGUCGGGAAGCAUUGUUUAGCUGCUCUCAACCCCUCCAUAUGAAGAGGGGCUUCAAUUGGUCCAUUGAUUGAAUUGGCUAUUGAAAUUGAUCCAAGAGGACUGUUCCUGCAAACCCUAACAAGAACAAAGUCUUUGAUCAUCGAACCAUUUUCUGGUAAUUGUGGAAAGGGGCUUCAUUUCUUUGACAUUUGAGCUUUUGGGGACCUACAUCGUGCUCUCUCUCUCUCUCACA